rnacentral:lncRNA from 1 species
CACAAGGGUAAACUCAAAGUGACAGCUGACCCUGGCUCUUUCUUCAAGCUCAUACAGGUCAUUGCUGGCAGAAUUUAGUCCUCGUAGUUGCAAGGCUCCCAUUAACUGCUCUUCCCCGCUUCCACCCCCCCCCUUUUUUUUUUUAAUUUUGUUUUGGAAAAAAAAAAUGUCUUUAUCUUCUCAAGUCAAACCUGGUAGUCCCUGCCUACGGUUCCAACAUCUGUGAGCCUGUGAAGUGAAAAUGGGGAAACGAAGGGAGAAGUUUUCAGAUCGAAGCCCAUACUUGGCCAAGGGUCUGAUCCUAGAAGAAAUGACAAUCCCAGACCUCAAAUGCAGCUUCUUAGAAAAAAAAAAGGUGCUUGAACUGUCGCUGGCUGGAGAUCACCAACAACAAGGAGAGCAGGGACUCAUGUUCCACCCAACCAGGCCAAGCUCUUUGACCCAGUGAUGUCAUCUAUGAUGUCACUACCGCCUCAUCGGCACUGCCUGUUUUUGGUCUGAAUGAGAUGUGCCUUAUAAGUCCCAAGCCUGUGACUACUGGGCUCACAGUUGGUGGCUGUUGGAGGAGAAUUAGAAGGGAAAUAUAGCUAACGAUGGGACUGCUGGUGAUGAACGCCCAAACUGCAGGACUGGGGGAUGGCUCACUGGAGAAAUCAGUUGUCAGACAGAGUCCAGAUCACUGGGAUGGAUAUAGGAUGUGGUAACCUGCAAUCCCAGCCAUGAGUCUGAAGACUGACUGUAAAUUGAAGGCCUGCCUGAGACACAAAAAAAAAACAGUGGGACAAACAGCCACGUGUCUUUAGUGAGCAACCUGUACAUUCCGCCUACCAACAAGGCGAGAGCGAUCCUGUUGGAGCCACAGAAGGCACCGAAUUCUUCAGAGCAUCAAUGACUGUGUGAAAAAGCCUUGACUCGGUAUCAGUGGAAACAAUUCUCAUUAAUGUUGCCUAACAUUUUUGUAGAUGAAUGUUGACAAAAUUAAAGACUCUGAGGGCUGCUGAAUAAAUCUGGGGUUGCCUAAGAUCUGGAAUAGGCAGACGUUAUUAUACACAACACCUUCCUGGUGUGAAAAGGAAAUAAGGCAGUUUACAGUGGAAGGAUUUCCUUGCUUUCCCCCUCCUCCUCAGGAGAGGGGUACAAUCAGUGUUUAUUUAAUCAAAUGUGUUAACUUUUUAAAAAAUAAAUUCACUGUAUUAUAAAUAUAAAUUCAUUUAUUGCAUGUAUAAAUCCCGCUUUAAGUGUUUUGGAGUCACAAUGUGUGUUGAGCACUUUUUAAGUCUCUCUCCUUGACAUUGAAGACAAAAGUUCUCUCUCUCUCUCUCUCUCUCUCUCUCUCUCUCUCUCUCUCUCUCUCUCUCUUGGUUUUUGGUUUUUCAAGACAGGGUUUCACCAUGUAGCCCUGGCUGGGCUGGAAGUCAUUCUGUAGAUGCAAAGAGCCUCUGCCUCCUGGAUUAAAGGCAUAAGCCUCUGCCACCAUCACCACCACCACCACCACCACCACCACCACCAUCAUCACCAUCACCACCACCAUCACCACCACCACCACCACCACCAUCACCACCAUCACCACCAUCACCACCACCACCACCAUCACCACCAUCAUCACCAUCACCACCACCACCACCACCAUCACCACCACCAUCACCACCACCACCACUAGGUAACAACAAAGACUCUUAAAAUGGAAUCCGCAGAAGUGUCUGUAGCUUGGGGACCUAAUAUAUAUCUAUGAAUUUUCCAGAAAGACAAGCCAUAUUUUCAUUAGAUUUUCUGUAAACUUUUCCCCACCUCUAAAAGAUAUGAAAGAUAUAAUAAGAUUUUAAAGGGAAUGUUUAUUAACUUUGAAAUCCUUUUUCCUUAUCCCACCCGAAUCUGGAGUCUGAAUGGAAAAGAAAACCUUAUCCCUUUCGCUGAAUCAACUGGAUUUUCAAAAAAGAAUAGUGAGUGAAUGUCUGUGGUGUGGGGGGAGGGUGUGUUGUCAGUACUGUCUGAAGGAGAUGGGCCAAGAAAAAAAUAGGAAAAAAAAAUAGACACGUUUUAAAAGAAACUCUUUAAAACAAACAACCAAAAAAGGUCCAAACCAAGACAGCUAUCUGGGGCUGGAGAGACGGCGCAGUGGUUAAGAGUACUUGC